UCCUACGGGAGGCAGCAGUGGGGAAUAUUGCGCAAUGGAGGAAACUCUGACGCAGCGACGCCGCGUGAGGGAUGAAGGUCUUCGGAUCGUAAACCUCUGUCAGAAGGGAAGAAACUAGGGUGCUCUAAUCAUCAUCCUACUGACGGUACCUUCAAAGGAAGCACCGGCUAACUCCGUGCCAGCAGCCGCGGUAAUACGGAGG
rnacentral:rRNA from 1 species